AGAGCGAACGCUGGCGGCAGGCCUAACACAUGCAAGUCGAGCGCCCGUAGCAAUACGGGAGCGGCAGACGGGUGAGUAACACGUGGGAACGUGCCCUUUGGUUCGGAAUAACUCAGGGAAACUUGAGCUAAUACCGGAUAAGUCCGUAAGGAGAAAGAUUUAUCGCCGAAGGAGCGGCCCGCGUCCGAUUAGCUAGUUGGUGGGGUAAUGGCCCACCAAGGCUACGAUCGGUAGCUGGUCUGAGAGGAUGACCAGCCACACUGGGACUGAGACACGGCCCAGACUCCUACGGGAGGCAGCAGUGGGGAAUAUUGGACAAUGGGCGCAAGCCUGAUCCAGCCAUGCCGCGUGGGUGAUGGAAGGCCCGUAGGGUUGUAAAGCCCGUUUACGGCCGGGGAAGAUAAGUGACGGUACCCGACAGAAGAAGCCCCGGAUAACGUCGUGCCGAGCACGCCGC
rnacentral:rRNA from 1 species